rnacentral:misc_RNA from 1 species
ACCUCUUCUCAGGUUCAAACCCCCCCUCUGUCUUCAUCAAAUACAUCAUCUAUCAAAAAUCUUCCCCAACAGCCCCGUCCACAGCCAAACCACUCUCAGAUUUCUUUUGCAGCUAGCUCAAAAUCUACAACUCAAUCGCAAGGGCAGCAACCUGCAAGCAGUAAUCAGUCUCCAUCACCUGGAAUGAUUGGUUCACCAACUAAUUCUUCAAUCUCAAAG